CGGAUAGUAGUUCAGAUGGGAGUAACGCUUGAUUUAUUCAAGUAGUCACAGGUUCAAGUCCUGUCUAUCCGA
rnacentral:tRNA from 2 species